rnacentral:rRNA from 1 species
AUGAACGCUAGCUACAGGCUUAACACAUGCAAGUCGAGGGGCAGCAUGGUCUUAGCUUGCUAAGGCCGAUGGCGACCGGCGCACGGGUGAGUAACACGUAUCCAACCUGCCGUCUACUCUUGGACAGCCUUCUGAAAGGAAGAUUAAUACAAGAUGGCAUCAUGAGUCCGCAUGUUCACAUGAUUAAAGGUAUUCCGGUAGACGAUGGGGAUGCGUUCCAUUAGAUAGUAGGCGGGGUAACGGCCCACCUAGUCUUCGAUGGAUAGGGGUUCUGAGAGGAAGGUCCCCCACAUUGGAACUGAGACACGGUCCAAACUCCUACGGGAGGCAGCAGUGAGGAAUAUUGGUCAAUGGGCGAGAGCCUGAACCAGCCAAGUAGCGUGAAGGAUGACUGCCCUAUGGGUUGUAAACUUCUUUUAUAAAGGAAUAAAGUCGGGUAUGGAUACCCGUUUGCAUGUACUUUAUGAAUAAGGAUCGGCUAACUCCGUGCCAGCAGCCGCGGUAAUACGGAGGAUCCGAGCGUUAUCCGGAUUUAUUGGGUUUAAAGGGAGCGUAGAUGGAUGUUUAAGUCAGUUGUGAAAGUUUGCGGCUCAACCGUAAAAUUGCAGUUGAUACUGGAUAUCUUGAGUGCAGUUGAGGCAGGCGGAAUUCGUGGUGUAGCGGUGAAAUGCUUAGAUAUCACGAAGAACUCCGAUUGCGAAGGCAGCCUGCUAAGCUGCAACUGACAUUGAGGCUCGAAAGUGUGGGUAUCAAACAGGAUUAGAUACCCUGGUAGUCCACACGGUAAACGAUGAAUACUCGCUGUUUGCGAUAUACUGCAAGCGGCCAAGCGAAAGCGUUAAGUAUUCCACCUGGGGAGUACGCCGGCAACGGUGAAACUCAAAGGAAUUGACGGGGGCCCGCACAAGCGGAGGAACAUGUGGUUUAAUUCGAUGAUACGCGAGGAACCUUACCCGGGCUUAAAUUGCAGAUGAAUUACGGUGAAAGCCGUAAGCCGCAAGGCAUCUGUGAAGGUGCUGCAUGGUUGUCGUCAGCUCGUGCCGUGAGGUGUCGGCUUAAGUGCCAUAACGAGCGCAACCCUUGUUGUCAGUUACUAACAGGUUCCGCUGAGGACUCUGACAAGACUGCCAUCGUAAGAUGUGAGGAAGGUGGGGAUGACGUCAAAUCAUCAUGCCCCUUAUGACUUGGGCUACACACGUGCUACAAUGGCGCAUACAAAGAGAAGCGACCUCGCGAGAGCAAGCGGACCUCAUAAAGUGCGUCGUAGUCCGGAUUGGAGUCUGCAACUCGACUCCAUGAAGUCGGAAUCGCUAGUAAUCGCGAAUCAGCAUGUCGCGGUGAAUACGUUCCCGGGCCUUGUACACACCGCCCGUCAAGCCAUGAAAGCCGGGGGUACCUGAAGUGCGUAACCGCGAGGAGCGCCCUAGGGUAAAACUGGUGACUGGGGCU